GCCAGCAGCCAUAUCACCCUGCAACUCACAAUUGGCCUACCACUAAAGCUAAGCAGGUGUGAACCAUGUCAAUACCUGAAUGGGAGAGCUCCUAGGAAAAACUAAGGUUGCUGCUGGAA
rnacentral:rRNA from 1 species